CGUAACGCGUAUACAAUUUACCUUUUACAGGGGGAUAGCCCAGAGAAAUUUGGAUUAAUAUCCCAUAGUAUUAUUGAUUGGCAUCAAUUAAUAAUUAAAGCUUCGGUGGUAAAAGAUGAGUAUGCGUUCUAUUAGCUAGAUGGUAAGGUAACGGCUUACCAUGGCAACGAUAGAUAGGGGCCCUGAGAGGGGGAUCCCCCACACUGGUACUGAGACACGGACCAGACUCCUACGGGAGGCAGCAGUGAGGAAUAUUGGACAAUGGGCGCAAGCCUGAUCCAGCCAUGCCGCGUGCAGGAAGACGGCCCUAUGGGUUGUAAACUGCUUUUAUACAGGAAGAAACCUUUCCACGUGUGGAGAGCUGACGGUACUGUAAGAAUAAGCACCGGCUAACUCCGUGCCAGCAGCCGCGGUAAUACGGAGGGUGCAAGCGUUAUCCGGAAUCAUUGGGUUUAAAGGGUCCGUAGGCGGAUUAAUAAGUCAGAGGUGAAAUCCCACAGCUUAACUGUGGAACUGCCUUUGAUACUGUUAGUCUUGAGUUAUAUGGAAGUAGAUAGAAUGUGUAGUGUAGCGGUGAAAUGCAUAGAUAUUACACAGAAUACCGAUUGCGAAGGCAGUCUACUACGUAUAUACUGACGCUAAUGGACGAAAGCGUGGGGAGCGAACAGGAUUAGAUACCCUGGUAGUCCACGCCGUAAACGAUGGACACUAGUUGUUGGAGAUUAUUUCAGUGACUAAGCGAAAGUGAUAAGUGUCCCACCUGGGGAGUACGAUCGCAAGAUUGAAACUCAAAGGAAUUGACGGGGGCCCGCACAAGCGGUGGAGCAUGUGGUUUAAUUCGAUCAUACGCGAGGAACCUUACCAGGGCUUAAAUGUAGUCUGACAGCUUUAGAGAUAGAGUUUUCUUCGGACAGAUUACAAGGUGCUGCAUGGUUGUCGUCAGCUCGUGCCGUGAGGUGUCAGGUUAAGUCCUAUAACGAGCGCAACCCCUGUCGUUAGUUGUCAGCAAGUAAAGUUGGGGACUCUAACGAGACUGCCUACGCAAGUAGAGAGGAAGGUGGGGAUGACGUCAAAUCAUCACGGCCCUUACGUCCUGGGCCACACACGUGCUACAAUGGUAUGGACAAUGAGCAGCCAUCUGGCAACAGAGAGCAAAUCUAUAAACCAUAUCACAGUUCGGAUCGGAGUCUGCAAUUUGACUCCGUGAAGCUGGAAUCGCUAGUAAUCGGAUAUCAGCCAUGAUCCGGUGAAUACGUUCCCGGGCCUUGUACACACCGCCCGUCAAGCCAUGGAAGCUGGGAGUGCCUGAAGUCGGUCACCGCAAGGAGCCGCCUAGGGUAAAACUGGUGACUAGGGCU
rnacentral:rRNA from 1 species